AUAUACAAUGUGAGAAGGUACCGCAUAUUUGCUUCGUUAAAUAAAAAAAAAUUCCAAAGAGGAAUUGUAAACAAAAGAGCUCAGACUGUGUGAGCUCAGGGCCACGGGGAGAGCAGCAGAACCAGACGUUUGAGUCUCAUAUUUCAAAGCCACGGAGACAGUUCAGGCCUCAGCUGGGCCACAUCUACUGUAAGUCUGAUUCAUCUUGACAUCUUUGCAAGGUUAAAGACUUGGGAAAACAAAUCUACAGCCCCCUUACACGGGGCGUUAUCCAGCCAAUCUAUAGCUGCAGGAAGAUGGAGUUGUUCUUUUUUAUUAUCGCCACAGGGGUUUGAGUCAUUGUGGAACACUUCUGGCCCACUGUGGUGCCGCCGCACCAGCAUAAGUCACACAGAGGCAGAAAAAGAAACCAGGCUGCUCAUGAAGACAUUGCAACAUUGAGGCGGGGAGCUGCAGAUGUGAACAGAGAGGCCUUUGAAGGAGCAGAAUCCGGGCCUCCUCGAUUCCACCUCCUCUUCCCUCGCCGGCCCGAACUCCCACCGCACAAGUCUGCUUCCAGGAAACCAGCUGUUGGACUGGGGAGAAGGGAGGAGAGCGGAGGGCAAUUAUUUGAAUAUCCGCAGGAGUGCAGCUGGAGUGCCACGGCUCAUCUUUAACAGCAAAGACGGUGAAAUUGCCUCACUCCGGCGGAUCAAGGUUGUAGGCAAUGAAACACUAUAAUUUAUGACACAGUUUGAUAUUUCAGUGAAGUCAUUGAUUCCCUCGUGUCAGACCUUGGCAAGGACGGCUCCAGAAUUCACAGAAUGUAAUUCCAAUUCUGCCUCGAUGAGGAUUUUUUUUUUUACAGCACUAAUUGGACACUUGGCUGGCUGCACAUGCUGUAAAAUGGAUUUUCCCCUGAAUCAACAGAAACAGCCCUCAGAAAUUCAACAUCGUGCCGCUGCCCUGCAGAUUAUUUCCAAGGCUUCUGUGCACAAUGUAGCAAACGAGAAGCAUAACGUGUGUAAAACAUAGAGUGAUAUCAUGUAUGCAGCAAGUUAUUAAAGCUGUCCCACUUUCA